AGAAACAACGCACAAGGAACCUGGCAUAGGAAACAGCUACUGGGUCCUGUAAGACUUUCCAGGACACCAAGGCCAGACGGGAAUGAGGCAAGAGUGGGGGAAACCAUACAAGGGACUCAAUCUUCAGGGUCUGCAUUGCCGCUGUUCUUUUACCGUGAAAAAUAUCAAGAUCAGAACACCCGAGACAGCUCAGCAGCCACAGGUGCUUCCUAUGAGUGGAUCUAUAAGUUCAACCCUCAGGAUCCCCAGGGAAGAAGACACAGGUGAGAAAAGGAUUAUUUGGAGAUUCUGAUGAAAUAUACGUCACUGGUGAAUGAAACAGACCAAGUCUACAAGUCAGCAAGAGAAACCAAAAGGCAUGACACCAGGGCAGGAGGCUGGAAGGAGGGAGUAUUAAUAUGGCAGUUUCAAUUGGAACCUUCAACACAGAACCUUCCCAAGAGGGAGAGCACGGGAGCCUUGGAUGGUAAAUGAAAGGCUACAUUCUGUCUGGGAGAACAGAAACCUGGAAGAGUCUCAAGUUCCCUUCCUCAACAAAAAAGAAGGAGCAAGCCACUCCCCUUUACUGUAACUCCCCACCCAUUCCUCUGUUACUAACCCCAAUAAAAACAUAUUGGU